CUAUCACUGAGGCUAAGGAGCACUCACAAAAAGGGACCUAUCAUGACUGCCCUCUGAAAGACCCAAUAAGCAGCUGAAAGAGCUAGAUGAAGAUAUUUGCACCCAACCAAUGGACAGAAGCAGUGACCCCUGUAAGCUGAGGAGAAGGGCAAUCCUGUAGGAGGUCCAGCAGUCUCAAUUAAUCUGGACCCCCAAGAUCUCUCAAACACUGGACCACAAAACAGACAGCAUACACCAGCUGAUAUGAGGCCUCCAACACACAUACAGUAGAGGACUGCCGGGUCUGUGUUCAUUCAGAGAUGAUGCACCUAACCCUCAAGAGACUGGAGGCCCCAGGGAGUUUAGAGGUCAGGUGGAGUGGGGAGGGGUGGAGGCAUCCACGUGGAUAUGGGGUGGGGUGGGGAGGAGGUGUCUGAUGUGGAACAGUUGGAGGGUGGAUGGAGAGGGGUGGGAUAUGAAAUAUGGAGUGUAAAAAAUAAAUUAAAAAUAAAAUAAAAAUUUUCAAAGGAAAAAAGGAAGUAAAAGAUGGAAUAGAAGGGAGGGAAGGAAGGAAGAAAAAAGGAAGGAUGGGCAGAGGGAAGAAGGGAGGAAGUAAGAGAAAGUUAUAAAUAACGAUGAUAGAAAGGGAAGAGCUGUCUGGGAUAUGUACCAACAAACACUGCUAGGUUAGUACAUCUGAGAUUGGAGCUUAUUAAUUUGAAUAUUUAACAAACUGCCCAGGAGAAUCUUAAAUAUAGAACAUGAGAGAUUGGAAAUAAAAACCGAUGGGCCAGAUUCUUUCUUUCUUUCUCUUUUUAAUUUUGUUGAUUAUUUUAUAAAAUAUUUUGACAUAUUCUUUCCUUUGCCCAACUCUUUCCAGAUCUCUCCAUCUUUCUCCCAUCUCUCUCUUUCUCAAAAACAAGCAAACAAACACUACUGGUUUGGGGAAACAAGAAGAUAAUCACAGCAUAAAAAAAUGUUUCCAUCGUACAAACAGCAUGGCAGAUGAGACAAGUCAGGAUGGUAAAGAAUAAUGUUGCUCAUCUUCUGGGAAGAAAGCUAAACUUAGAGUUUCGUGUUUGAGAAUCCCUGUCUGGGAGCAAUGGAUUAGCCCUUGUUUAAUUUCUCACCUUAUUCUGACAAAUAGAUGAGAAGAGAUGAGAAGUAGGAAAGAGGCAGGUGUCCUGGGAGGGCAUUUUGGAAAUUACUUUCUCCACCCAUAGCCAAUCCUGUCUGCAUCUGUUGCUGUAUAGUCUAGGGUUUUGAUUGCUUGCAAUAUAGGUAUUGCUUCACUGUGUUUAAUGAGACUUCUUCCAUAUAGGAACCUGCAGGACUUCUCGAUGGGUUCUUUCAGGAGUGGCUUCUUGAUUACAACAAUUCAUUUAAUCCCUCCUCCACCAAGAAGGCAGCCGUGUGCUGAAAAGGACUCCUAGUCACUGGUUCAAGUUGUUUUGAAAAACUGACUGCACCUCCCAGAAAAUGAGGGCACAUGAAGAAUUUCCGUUCAACAAGACAUAACUGGAAGUCUAGAGAGAAAAGAAUAAAAGAUAAAACAGACAGGAUGGGAUUUAUAGUCUUCUGGCUCAUACACCUGUUGACUAAUUGGGAAUUUGAGUAUUGAGCAGGACCCUCAGGGACAGAGUUCUGGGAGAGAAGGCAUGGGAUCAGAAAACAAGGAAGGUAGAAUUUAGAGAAGAUAAGAAAGUAAGGACCAUCAGAAUCAACUAACCUGGACCCUUGGGGGCUUUCAGAGACUGAACCAUCAACCAAAGAAUGUACCUGAGUUGAACUUACAGCCCCCUGCAUAUAUAUAGUGGAUGUGCAGCUCAGUAUUCAUGUGGGUCCCCCAACAACUGGAGCAGUGGCUCCCUCAAAACCUGUUGCCUAUCUGAAAUCUGUUUCCCUAUUUGGGCUGCCUUGGCUGGCCUCAGUGAGAGAGUAAAUAUCUAGCCAUACAGAGACAUAAUGUGCCAGGGUGGUGGAAUACCCAGGGGUAGUCUCCACCAUAUCAGAGGAGGAGAGGGGGGAAGUACUAUGUGAGGGGGUACUGGGAAGAAGGGGGGGUGCAGGAAUCAGGAUGUAAAAAUUAAUAAAUAAAUGAAUUAAUUGAAAAAGGAAAGUUUGGAAUUAGGAGGUUUUGAAUAAGCUAUGUUUUAUGCCAAGCAAGGUUACUAAGAAGAACAGUAUCAUAUAUAUUUUCCAGGGGAGAAAUAAGACAGAUUCAGCAAAAACUAGCACAUGAUGGGAUGAAGUCAGUGGAAGCUAAUCAAACAAUUUUGUACAAAGGAAACACCGGGUAUUUUAAAAUCAUUAGAGCAAACAUGCAACAGCCUUGGCCUGAUAACCUUAGCCUCAUGGUGGGAAACAUAAGGUUCUCAGGAUUUGAAAUGGCAGCUCCCCCAUGUUAUUAAUGGAUCUGUAGCAUAUUGUUUUUAAUCUUUCUUCUCUAUAUAUCAGGUCCUCAGGGAAACACUCCCAAAACAUUGACUCUAGGCUAUUUCUGACUUUGCCAAGCAUAUUUCUAGUUUUGAGAAGGAGUCUGUUUCUUCUCAAAACAUCAGUCACUCGGAGAAAGCUUUAUUCCACCUUUCAAUAAGCUAGAACCUAUUGACAAUCACCAUCAUCAUCACAUAAUUGUCAUAUCAAUGGACUUGGUAUGUAUGUGCUGAAAUGUUUUAAUGGAAUAUUUCUAAUGAAAGUAUUGUCAUGUCCAAUAUACAGAUGAGAGACACAAAGAUGAAGUAACUGAACCAAAUUGGAUGACCUCUAUUCCUAAUGAAUAAACAGAGAUUUCAUGA
rnacentral:lncRNA from 1 species